rnacentral:rRNA from 1 species
UAAGGUCACGGCAAGACGAGCCGUUUAUCGCCACAAUAGGUGCUAAGUGGAGGUGCAGUAAUGCAUGCAGCUGAGGCAUCCUAACAGACCGAGAGGUUUGAAC